rnacentral:rRNA from 1 species
GACAGAGGAGCCAAGCGUUGUCCGGAUUGACUGGGCGUAAAGCGCACGCAGGCGGCCCGGCGCGUGGGGUGUGAAAGCUGGCGGCUUAACUGCCAGAUGCCAUCCCAUACGGCUGGGCUCGAGCCCUGCAGAGGUCCAUGGAAUUGCCGGUGUAGUGGUGAAAUGCGUAGAGAUCGGGAAGAACAUCGGUGGCGAAGGCGCUCUACUGGACCACAACUGACACUCAGGGACGAAAGCUAGGGGAGCGAAUGGG